GCGGUGGAGCAUGUGGUUAAUUCGAAGCAACGCGAAGAACCUUACCAGGUCUUGACAUCCCUGACAACCCGAGAGAUCGGGCGUUCCCCUUCGGGGGACAGGGUGACAGGUGGUGCAUGGUUGUCGUCAGCUCGUGUCGUGAGAUGUUGGGUUAAGUCCCGCAACGAGCGCAACCCUCGACCUUAGUUGCCAGCAUUCAGUUGGGCACUCUAAGGUGACUGCCGGCUAAAAGUCGGAGGAAGGUGGGGAUGACGUCAAAUCAUCAUGCCCCUUAUGACCUGGGCUACACACGUGCUACAAUGGGCGGUACAAAGGGUCGCGAACCCGCGAGGGGGAGCCAAUCCCAAAAAGCCGCUCUCAGUUCGGAUUGCAGGCUGCAACUCGCCUGCAUGAAGCCGGAAUCGCUAGUAAUCGCGGAUCAGCAUGCCGCGGUGAAUACGUUCCCGGGCCUU
rnacentral:rRNA from 1 species